rnacentral:rRNA from 1 species
GUCCAGACUCCUACGGGAGGCAGCAGUGGGGAAUAUUGCACAAUGGGGGAAACCCUGAUGCAGCGACGCCGCGUGAGUGAAGAAGUACUUCGGUACGUAAAGCCCUAUCAGCAGGAAAGAAAAUGACGGUACCUGACUAAGAAGCCCCGGCUAACUACGUGCCAGCAGCCGCGGUAAUACGUAGGGGGCAAGCGUUAUCCGGAUUUACUGGGUGUAAAGGGAGCGUAGACGGCAGUGCAAGUCCGGAGUGAAAGGCCGGGGCUCAACCCUGGGACUGCUCUGGAAACUGUAAAGCUGGAGUGCGGGAGGGGCAGGCGGAAUUCCUGGUGUAGCGGUGAAAUGCGUAGAUAUCAGGAGGAACACCGGUGGCGAAGGCGGCCUGCUGGGCUUUUACUGACGCUGAGGCUCGAAAGUGUGGGGAGCAAACAGGAUUAGAUACCCGAGUAA